UACGUAGGGUGCGAGCGUUAAUCGGAAUUACUGGGCGUAAAGCGUGCGCAGGCGGUUUUGUAAGCCAGAUGUGAAAUCCCCGGGCUUAACCUGGGAAUGGCAUUUGGGACUGCAAGGCUGGAGUGCGGCAGAGGAGACUGGAAUUUACGGUGUAGCGGUGAAAUGCGUAGAUAUCGUAAGGAAGACCAGUGGCGAAGGCGGGUCUCUGGGCCGAUACUGACGCUGAGGAGCGAAAGCGUGGGGAGCGAACAGG
rnacentral:rRNA from 1 species